rnacentral:ncRNA from 2 species
AAUAGGGAAGCCGGUGCAAUUCCGGCGCGGGGCCGCCGCUGUAAUCGGCCGAGAAGCGCGAGCCGCAGGGCCACUGCCAACCGGCGGGAAGGCCGCUCGACGCCGGGCCGAGAGCCAGAAGACCU